AUUUUGAUGCUGCAGCCUGGGUAACUGUGUCACAGAGUUACCAAGUUGAAGACUUGCUAAAGAGGAUUGCAAGAGAGUUUGGCAUCAUAACUGAUGCCACCAACAUGGAAAUUAGAACCUUGGUUGAGAUCAUCCGGAAACAUCUUGAAGGUAAAAGGUAUAUCUUGGUUCUAGAUGAUGUUUGGGAAAAGGAUGUAUGGAUUAACAAUAUCAUGGAAGUCUUUCCAACUAAUUGUACCAGCCGAUUUGUUCUCACAUCAAGAAAGUUUGAUGUUGCAUCAUUGGCAGCUAGUAAUUGCAGAAUUGAGCUGAAACCUCUAGGAGAUCAGCACUCUUGGGAGUUAUUCUGCAAAGCAGCUUUUCGGAAUAGUGAUGACAAAAGGUGCCCGUCAGAGUUACAGGAUUUGGCUGCAAAGUUCUUACAAAAGUGUGAAGGCUUGCCUAUUGCCAUUGCAUGCAUAGGCCGUCUAUUGUCUUUCAAACAACCAACACAUUCUGACUGGGAUAGUGUGUACAAGGAGUUAGAAUUGCAGUCCACUAAUAAUGUGAUCCAAGGUGUCGACAGUAUCCUAAGAGUAAGCUUGGAGGACCUUCCAUAUGAACUAAAGAAUUGCUUCUUACAUUGUGCAAUGUUUCCAGAGGAUUAUGAAUUGAAGAGGCGAAGAUUAAUUAGGCACUGGAUUACUUCUGGAUUCAUCAAAGAAAAGGAGAAUAAAACACUAGAACAAGUGGCAGAGGGAUACUUGAAUGAUCUUGUAAAUCGAAGCUUACUACAAGUUGUGUUGAAGAAUGCAGCUGAACGAGUGCAGUGUUGCCGAAUGCAUGAUGUUAUCCGCCAUCUUGCCCUUGGCAAAGCAGCAACAGAAUGUUUCGGUAAAGUUUAUGAGGGCCGUGGGACAUUUUCGGUAGAUGGAACACGUAGACUGUCAAUAAAUAGCACCAGUAUUGUGUCAUUGAAUCCAUCUGGUGUGACACAUCUCCGUGGAAUCUAUGUUUUUACUAGUUCUGUUGAUAUUGAUUUGCUGAGACCUAUCCUUGCAUCCGUAACAUUGUUGUCAACAUUAGAUCUGCAAGGUACUGAAAUCAAGAUCCUUCCUAAUGAGGUCUUCAGCUUGUUUAAUCUGCGUUUCUUGGGUUUUCGAAAUACUCAAAUUGAGGUUCUACCAGAAGCCAUUGGAAGAUUGCAAAACUUAGAAGUAUUGGAUGCUUUAGACACUUGCCUACUAUCUUUACCAAAGGAUGUGGCAAAAUUGAAGAAGCUUAGGUACAUAUAUGCAUCGGCAAGCGUCAAUGAAGGAUCUCUUUGGCGUUACCGAGGAGUAAAGGUGCCUAGGGGCAUAAUAAAGAACCUGCCAGGACUGCAUGCUCUGCAAAAGGUUAAAGCUAGCUCAGAAAUUCUAUCUGAUGUUACAGCUUUGACAGAUUUACGAACAUUUGCCGUUGAUGAUCUGACCAGUGAGCACGCGUUAAUCUUACGUAGUGCGCUCAUGAACAUGAGGAAUCUUGUGCAUUUGACAAUUACUAUGUCAAAUGAAAAUGAAGUCCUACCAUUGGAACAACUUAGUUUACCAGAGACUCUUUCUAAACUUGAAUUGAUAGGGCAGCUGGAAAAGAAACGGAUGCCUGAUCAGAUUCUCUCUUCCUGGUUGCACCUGAACUAUCUCACUCAUCUAUGGUUGAUGUUCUCCAAACUUGAUGAGAACUCAUUUCCUAGCCUCCUAGUGUUGCAUAAUUUAUGCUCACUUUACCUUUUUAAGGCUUACGAUGGAAAGACAUUAUGCUUCUCUUCGCGGUCAUUUCCUAGACUGAGAAAACUACAAAUAGAGGUUGCUCCUCAGCUCAGCCAAGUAGAAAUAGAAGAAGAUGCACUGGGAAGCGUCGUUGAGCUAUGGUUUUCAUUGUGCCCAGAACUGAAGCAGCUCCCUCAUGGCAUUGAGUACCUUAGGACGCUUGAUGAAUUAUAUUUUGAACGUGCUUCUGAUGAGCUUAUAAAGAUCCUUAGGCAGGAAGGUGAAGCAAAAGAAUGCAAGGAAGAGCUAAUGAAGAUUAGCCACAUUAGAAGGGUUCGUUUUAGUGCAACUGGGGAAGACUUUUGGCAAAGAAUUGUAACCAGAGAAGGGAAUGCAUUCGCUGGCUGAAGGCUUGCAUCCAAGCUACUAUUUCCGGAGUACGAGGUAUGGGUUUUAUGCUGCUUCUUGUUGUUGGACAGGCGAGAACACACUGCCAUUCCUAAUUAAAUGUCUCGUGGAUAGCAUUUUCUCAGGUUUGCUGCUGCCUUUGUUGGUCUGGUUUGGACUUUUGGUGGUUCAGUUUAGUCGGUGUAUUGUGGUCUGCCCAUCAGCACCGGAAGUGCCUGGAUUCUGUAUUGGUGCAGAUUGCAUAAUAGAGUGUCAAUUCGAAUUUAUAAAUCGGCUUGCGAAUUAAGCAUAAACACUGUUGUGAUUCUAUUUGCUCCUUCAUGUCGUUUGUCUUAUGAUAUUGGCUUGAUGUCCUCUAUGGAUGAGGCAUCUCCCAGGUUUGUAAUAAGCUUGUCAGACGCUUUACUUCUCGUUUUGCACAGCAUAACUUUUUUGUCUGUCGAUGCUUUUUCUGUUGGGUGUGGAACCAAAACUUUAAGUUCCAGACAGCAGUAUGUUUAUGAAUAAUUUGAUCGAAUCAAUGAAAUAUAAUGCGUGUGAUUAGCCUAAGAUUAUGCCUAUCGCAUUACAGUUUUGGUUGGUUUAUUUGAAGGGUAAUAGAAUUCAAUGGCCGAAUUAGUAUUGUUAGGUGGGCCCUGUUCAGAAAUUGGCAAUUGUUAUGUUCUUUUUAGUUGGUAAUAAAGUGAGUAUAUGGCUUCUUUUCUAGGGAGCACACCCUGCCGUUAGUUACUUAUUAAUAUACAAGAAUAUGUUGUACACUUGUACUAAAGCAAAGCAAUUUAACCAAGAUAGAGCAGGAUAUCUACGUGCCGCCGCCGAUCGACGCCAUCGCGGCCCGGGAACGGCUGUGGGCCGCCCGACCACUCCCACAGCCGGUGGGUCCCAUCGGCCUCCGACGUCCGUGCCGGACCCGGACCAGCCCACCGCACGUACGUCACCACGCAGGCGUGCCCCUCGACGCCCACGCCUGCGCCGGUCGGCAGAUCAGAGCUCGGUCGCCUUUCCGGCACCGUCGGCCACCAGACGACAACCUGCUGCACCGGCACCCUUCUCGCUUCGUCGGGGGUUCGCCGAGGUUUGCGGCGCGGACAGAAGCACCAUGGCAGCGAGUCGUCCAAAUCUCAGACGCCAAUGGAGGAUGCCUCAUGUGUCGAUAGCACCUUCGACUCGGAACGCGCUGCGACGCAUUACGGCAAAGGAGCAUCAUGCCAUCGAUCUAGAAUAUAGUAAGAGAUUGAUGGGGUUGCCGUUGAGGGCGAAGAUUCAUCCUUCUCCCCCAAAGAAGCUGCAGGCACCAUGGAAACGUAUCUGAAAGGGACCAUUACCUCCGCGUCGUAUCACUCCGGCAGCGACCCUCGGAGAUUUCAUCUCGCCGGCUUUUCUGCCCGGAGUAUAAGGUGGUCGCGGUGCAUGACGACUUCACGAUGGCGGCGAUCCGCUUUCUACGGAGUUUCAAAAUUCGAACCCCCGAUCCACCGGAAAUUUGCAUGGGCCGGUCCAACUCAACAGAACCGUGGCCCAUCCUGACCGGCCUGGGAGCCAUCUGAUUGACUUCGGGACUGCAUCAACAAUUCGAAGACCUAAUCGACGCCUCAUCAAUCCAUCUCUCUUCCUUGCCACAACGUCGCUGCGCCGCUCGUACCGGGAGGUGUUGAUGGCAGGAGGAGACCGUGGAAAAGGUCCCCGUAAUCGGCGGGCCCCAGGAGAUGGAGCACCGGCAGAUCGCCGACAUGGUAGGGGUGGUGAAUUGCCCGCUGAUGCUGGUGGACGGGAUGACAGCCAAGGUCGCGGUCGUGGUCGUGGAGGGCCGAUAUCUGCUGCUCGAGGAGGAUCUGUGCACCCUACCGGAGGGCAGAUCUCUGCUGCUCGUGGAGGUUCCACGCAGGCUGCUGCUCGUGGUGGUUCAGCGCAGGCUGCUGCACCUGGUGCUCUCGCCCGGAACCGGGGCCGUGUGCUCCCCAAUGCAAACAGGCCACGAUCGACGGAGCAACAGAGGCGGCAAACGAACGCUUUGCUGUCCCAAACGCUCAUGGAGAUGGGGGAGGACAGCGCCCUCGGAGUAUUGUCGAUGAUGAACAAGGCAAGCAAAAAAGGAAGCGAAAGGAACAGUCUGUGAAGCUGGAUUGUACAAUCUGUACUGAGGAACACUACACGAACCAGUGCCCGUUGCUUCGGGGUCCCAAACCUACGGUAGCAUACUGUGGCGCAGCAGAGGAUGGGCUGGGUUUCUUCCAGAUACAGACUGCAAGAAAUAAUCAGAUCGUCAAACCUAUCCAGUCGUCUGUCGCAGCGCUCAUAAUGGUGGAAGCAGGUGAGGUAUCUGCUCAGCUGCUACAGACCGAGCUAGCCAAGAUCAUUCCAGUCCAUUGGGCUUGGGAGGUGCAACAACAAGGUCCUGAUUCUUUUAUUGUUCCUUUCCUGUCUAUGGAUGAGCUAGAAUGUAUGGUUGCAAUUCGCACGAUUACCACGAAGAACAAAGAGGGCAUUAAUAUAUUUGAAGAGUUCACCGAUGAUGUCCAACCCAUAAAAGUAUUAGAGCAAGUGUGGGUCACAGUCACUAGGGUCCUCGGGCACUUUGCUCUUUUCUUCCCCUAUGGGCUGUGGGGUCUAUUAUUGGGGCCACACAAAAGGUGGACAUGAUACACCUUUGGGCGACAGGUCAGGUCCAUAUUCUGGCGGCGGUUCUCGAUGUUGCAAAAAUUCCAAAACAGGCCGAUGUUUGUGCAGGAAGCAGUGUGUACCGACUCUAUUUCAAACCUGAGGAAGCUGUACAUAUUGAUGCCUUCGAUCCAGAGGAUGAUGACUUGUUAGGAGAUGGUGAUAAUCCUUAGGGGGGUGACAGCGAGAUGAAAGAAGCGGAGGAUCCGAAUCCAAAUCCUCCAAACAAUAGCACCACUGCCCAGAUUUCUCAAACACCUACUCAGAACUUACCCCCUCAAAAGCAAGCUUCUCUUAUACAGGAAGGAAUUGAUCUGGCUGUUGAACAACUGCUAAAGGAGAUCAGUGUAAAAGUCAUGACAGAAGUGGAUGACGGGGAUAAAAGGAAGCAUUACUCUCCUCCAACAGAAGAAGAAUUGAUUGCAUAUAAUUCUAUGGUGGAAUCUACUAACAAAUUUCACCAGUCUUCUGUCUCUCUGUCAUCAUCUUUGGAGACUUCGACCGGUGAUGAUAGCCACGAACCCAGCACAGUGAUCGAGGCUGGUGUAUCGCAGGCCAACUUGGGGGGCUCUACAUCGCCCAUUGCCCCCCAGGAUGCGCUGACAGCUCUGUCCCAGGCUCCGUUACAGACUGAGCUAGGAGAGCCUUCAUCGCCUACUGUCCAUCCGACUGGGUGCAAACUCCACCAGGCUGGUAUACAAACACUGCUCACUACCUCGCCACCAAGUCUGAGUGCCACUACACUGCUGUGCACACCCCCUGCCUUGCCCACACCGGAAGCAGGGGACGCGUAGCAAUGUGUCGCGCCUGCUACUGUCUAGGGAGCCGUAGGCGCAAGGCACAUGUCACCUUUUUCUUCAGAGGUGGGUGGGGGUGGCUCUACAGUGACAGCAGUCCUUCCCGCCACUCCUCAGGACCCCACGCCGGCACAGGAGGCGAUCUGGCCAGCCCUCAUUUCCGAGGGGGAAAUAGUGGGUGGUGGGGAAGGCUCUUCAUCAGCACUGGCCCUCCCUGCCGCUCCUCAGGACACCACGAAGGCAGAGGUGGGGGACAAGCUACCUCUCAUUGAUGAGAGCAAUUUUUCCAGGCAUACAACCACCAAAGAGCACAUCAGAGAGCUGCGCCGAAUUGCGAGAAAUGCUGCGACGGCUGAUGUUCACACCCUGCACAAAGUCGAAAGGGUGGCAGCGAAAAAGAAUGUCGAAGCAGGUAUUUCCUUUUCUAGCUUUCCAGAUUCAAAAAUUAUUUUCAACCUUGGUAGGGUAGGCAUCAACCUAGGCACCUCUGACAUAGCAGUCAUUAAAAAUAUAGAGGUAGAUAGGUUGAUCCUCUGUGCCAAUCAAAAAAAAGAAAAAUAUAUCAAAAUCCAAUUACCCUAUUUUAGACAGUGAUGAUGAGCGGGAAGAUCGACUAGAAGCAAUUCUCAGCCACACUAGUGGUAAUCUAAAUGAGAAUAUGCUGGACUAGGAGGAUGAUCAAAUUUUAGAUCUCUCUCCUCUCCGUCGGAAGAAAAAAUAUAAUAAUGCCAAAAAUACCAACAAAGGCAGACUUCCCAAAAAGCCAAAGACCCCAUCAAAAAUUAUUCUAAGAUGAAAGGGGUUUUCUGGAAUAGCAGAGGUCUUGUAGACUUGGCUAAACACGAGUUUCUGGCGGAUUUAGUUAAGGAGGAGCAAAUUCAUUUUAUCGCUCUCUCUGAGAUUGGGAGAGAUUUCUUCCCAGAUCAUGUCCUCAAAAAUCUUUGCGGAGGACAUGAUUUUCUUUGGCAUACCAUGGCACCCCACUGUAGAUCCAGGGAAUCCUGCUUGGUGUGGACUUGAAUGUAUUUGACAUUAGAGCCAUUGAUGAGGGAGAUUUUUAUGUAAAAUUCACCCUACGACUCAAGUCGAAUGACUUUAAAUUUGUGUUGGACACGGUAUAUGGACCAGCACAACUCCAAUAUAAGAGUGCUUUUCUAGUAGAACUCACCAACACGUGCUCCAAAGAAACCUUGCCAUUUAUAAUAGGAGGGGAUUUCAACAUAAUGCGAAGACCAGAAGAUAAGAGUUCUAGGGACUCCGAUCCUAAAUGGCCUAAUCUUUUUAAUGCUGUCAUAGAAUCUCUGGAUCUCAAGGAGAUUGCUAUGAUAGGUCGCCAAUUCACUUGGGCUGGGCCAUCCAACACUUGAAAUGUUAGAUAGAGUUCUCGUUAGCACUGAAUGGGAAAUCAUGUUCCCCUUGACAACAGUACAAACUAGGGAUGGGAAUAUUUCAGACCACACUCCCCUUGUACUAAAUACAGGUGUCGACCCACCAAACACACAACCGUCCUUUCAAAUUUGAGAGGGGAUGGUUGAUAAGAGAUGGAUUCUAUGAUAUGGUGGCAAACAUCUGGCAAUAUCCAUGCUCUGGAUCCACCCCCCUUGAACGUUGGCAGUUCAAGAUCCGCAGGCUACAACAGUAUCUAAGGGGUUGGGCAAAACACAAUGCAAGGUCAUAUCGAAAAGAAAAAAGACUCUGCUAGCCCUUUUAGAUAAUCUAGAUAAAAAGGCAGAGAACUCUCCCUUAUAUGAUCAAGAGAUUAAUCUUAAGCAUUAUCUAAAGGAACGCUUAGUUAACCUUCUCAGGGAAGAAGAAUUAAAAUGGUAUGAGAGAGCGAAGGUCAAAACCCUUUUAGAAGGGGAUGCUAACACUAGGUUUUUUCAUCUAGUUGCCAAUGGGAAAUAUCAUAAGCAACAUAUCUACAAACUUGAAAAUGAUCAAGGUAUUGUGAUCAGCGCUGAGCAACUUAAAAGUCACAUUACGACUUAUUAUAAAGACCUAUUUGGCUAGCCAGAAGAUUGCGAUAUGUCCCUUAGGGAAGACCAAAACUUGGAUAUCCCACAAGUUUCACUGGAAGAAAACGAUAUCCUCGUCAGCCCUUUCUCAGAAUCUGAAGUGAGGGAGGCAUUCGUCCAAAUGGAGCAUAAUAAAGCUCUAGGCCCUGAUGGUUUUCCUACGGAAUUCUACUAGGUGUUUUGGGGAGUCAUCAAGGAUGAUCUUCUACCCCUAUUUACUGAGCUGCAUAGUGAAGCUCUGGAACUCUAUAGCCUGAAUUUUGGUAUUAUUACCUUAAUUCCAAAAGUGAGUAAUGCCAUAAAAAUUCAGCAGUAUAGGCCAAUUUGUGUUCUUAAUGUGAGCUUUAAACUAUUCACUAAAGUGGGCACAAAUAGGGUUAAUAUGGUAGCUAAAAUUGUGGUCAGGCCAACGCAGACUGCCUUUAUGUCGGGUAGGAACAUUAUGGAAGGAGUCAUUAUCUUACAUGAAACCAUCCAUGAGCUUCACACCAAAUAGAGAGACGGUGUCAUUUUAAAAAUUGACUUUGAAAAGGCAUACCACAAGGUGAGGUGGUCCUUCCUACAACAAACGUUGCGAAUGAAAGGUUUCUCCCCCAAAUGGUGUCGGUGGGUUCAAACUUUAGUCUCUGGAGGAAGCGUGGGAAUCAAAGUCAAUGAUGACAUAGGACCAUACUUCCAAACCAAACGGAGACUGAGACAGAGAGACCCCAUGUCACCAAUCUUAUUCAACAUCAUUUGUGAUAUGCUAGCCCUGCUUAUUAAUAGAGCAAAGGCCGAUGGCCAGAUAAGAGGUGUCGUUCCUGACCUUAUAGAUGAUGGUCUGUCCAUAUUACAAUAUGCAGAUGACGCCAUUAUCUUUAUUGAUCAUGACCCAGAACAAGCACAGAAUCUAAAAUUGUUGCUUUGCACUUUUGAAUAGCUAUAUGGCCUGAAGAUCAACUUCCACAAGAGCAAAAUCUUCUGUUAUGGUGCAGCUAAAGAGAUGGAAUCAUAUUAUACUAAUCUCUUUGGAUGCAACGCAGGGGAAUAUCCCUUCAGAUACUUAGGGAUCCCAAUGCAACAUAGACAACUCCGGAACUCUGAAUGGAGAAGGGUGGAAGAUCGCUUUCAACAGAAACUCUCUUGUUAGAAGGAAAAAUACCUGUCAUAUGGGGGAAGACUAGUUCUGCUAAAUUCUGUCUUAAGCAGCCUACCCAUGUUUAUGAUGUCCUUCUUUGAGAUCCCUAAGGGGGUCAUUAAAAACUUGGAUCAUUAUAGAUCAAGUUUCUUCUAGCAAGGCUCGUUAGACAAACAUAGAUAUCGACUUGACAAAUGGGAUAUACUUUGUCGUCCUAAGGACCAAGGGGGAUUAGGUAUCCUAAAUUUAGAAUUACAAAACAAAUGCCUUCUAGUCAAAUGGUUGGUUAACUUACUUAACAUAGAAGGUAUUUGGCAAUCUCUUUUAAGGAAUAAAUACCUAAGAUCCAAAACCCUAACUCAAGUGGCAGCUGUUGACGGUCCUUAAGUAUCAAAUUUAAUCAUCAAAUAAAUAAAGAAAAGGAUCCAAAUGCAACCAACACCCAGACUUAGGGUUUAGGGUUUAGGGUUUUAGGGUUAAGAAAAACUGUGCGAUUAAGGUCGGUUUGAUCCAACGACCCACGUUCAUUUGGAAGGGGUAUAUAAGCAGGCUCCUUCGCCCCUAGAGGAGGUAUUCUCAUUCUCAAACCCUAAUUCGUUCUUCAUCCAAGGAGGAGAGUCUCUGAUCAAGCCCUAGAGCCAACACAUCAACUAGAUUUCUAGUUUAGCAUAGCUACAUAGGAUUAGAACUAGGAGUCAAUAUUUGAUUGGUUUCUAGAUCUGUCAAGAGGAUUCUUGGUAAUUCCUCUACUGUUCUUCAUUUGUUCAUCAUUAUUUUUCAAUAUUAUGAAUAUGACUUUGUUCUAUUUCAAUAUAUUGACUAUGACUUUGCUCUACUUGUUUAUAUUUGCAAUUAUAUCAUGCUUAGUUUGUCGUGGUUAUAUACUUGGCUUAGUUAGAUUGGAUUUAUAUACAUGUUUAGGAUCCUAUAGAGUUUAUCCAUUGGGUCCAUGGGUAAAUGAUAAGUAUUGUGUAGGUGUCGUGCUUAUACCGUAUUUAUCUAUGAUUGUACCCUAUAUGCCGGAUCGCGGGGUAGUUCGCGGUGAUGACAGCUCUAUUGAUUCUUAUAUAGUCCCCCUCCCGUGUAUAGGGUAGGCAGAGCAACAGGGGAGUGAUUGCUAUGUUUCUCAUCUUCCUUGAUAAUAUCACUAUGCAUGGGCGUAGUCCUGUCUCACAAUGAUUGCCAAGUAUAAUUGCACUAACUAUGAUAUACUAGGCUUUAUAGUUAAGAAUAACUUAGGAAAUAUUCUUGUAGUUCAUCCUAGUUCCAUGCUAAUGACUUGCUAGAAUAUCUGUUGAGGUGCUUAUCAUUAUCAUAUGUGGCUUGUUAUGCUGAUCAGAUUAGUUAUCUUUAUCACCAUUCAUAUUUUAUCUACAUUUUAUAUGACACUUAUCCCUGUAUGUAAGAGAUAGAUGAAUGCUCUCUAUUACACAUGCAAUGAUACUCAGUUCUAUAUUUCAUUCCAUAAUCAACAUUGGUGUUAGUAAUCCCUUUCCAGUGGUAAAAAUAUAAUUAACGAUACUUGGAAUACUUCCCGGUUAAAAUGCUACAUCAGUAUUAAUUUGUGCGCUUGCAGAUCUCUUUUAUUAUUUAUUCAGAAGAGCAAUUGCAUAUUUCAAUACCGCAUCUCUCAUGUCAUGCUAGGGAUGACAACUUGGCUUAAGUGGCAUGAUGGAUAGGUCGGCAUUUUUUGUGCCGUUAUCAGAAAUAGAAAACCAAGUCUACUUUUGGUAAUGACGUUAAGAAUGCCCAACAAGCAUUUUUGGCGCUAUUGCCGGGAAAGGUUUAUUUACUAAUAAGGAAUGAAUACGGAAUACUGAGUCAUCAUUCGCAUCACUAAUAUGAUUGAGAUCAUCAAUUCUCUCAUACAGCUUUACCCCUGUAUUUUGCUAUUUUUUAUUAUUUUAUGCAGGGUGAUGUAUGAAUAGAAGACAUCUUUCAGAAAAUUUUGUGGACGAUCCCGAAGCAAUAAUCAGAAAAACAAGAGCCAUGCUCAAGAAGGUUUCAUCGUCAACACUUCAGUGCAAAACUUCAUCAAAUCAAGAAGAUCGCCGAAGUUUCAUUCGGAGCUUGUCAUCGGAGUUCGAAGCCAUGGCGAACAAGUCAAUCCGCGAGUUCUCAGCUCCCACCACGAACAACAUCCACACUGGACCUACUAUGGAGAUCGACCGGACCUUUGAGCUCAAGCCUGGGCUCAUCAACAUGGUGCAAGCCAAUCAGUUCUAUGGGAAGGCACACAAAGACGCUAGUGCUCAUCUCCAACACUUCCUGGAGAUUUGCAGCACAUUUCGCCUCUUCCCAUUCUCACUGUUGGGGAGAGCGAAGCUGUGGUUGUACGCAACAAAGAACAAGAAUUCUACGUGGGCACUAUGCUCCAUGAACUUUCUGGCCAAGUUCUUUCCCAUGGGCAAAACCAAUUCUCUCUGUGGAAAGAUUACAAGUUUUCAGCAACAAUAUGAUGAAUCCAUUCCAGAGGUAUGGGAGCGCUUCCAAGACUACAUCCUAGAAUGUCCCCAUCAUGGAAUGGAGAGCUGGCUGCUGAUGCAGAUGUUUUAUCAUGGGCUCAGCAAUAGCACCCGUGAAACCAUAGAUGCCUACAGCCGGAGAAGCAUUCCUGUCACUCACCAUACCACAAGCCACAGCCCUUGUGGAGAAGAUGGCGUCCAACCAAGGUUGGAACGAGGAGAGGACCUAGACACGCAAGAAAAGUGGAGGUAUGCACUAGCUCAAGGAGAUAGACAUGUUGUCUGCAAAGCUGGACCUGCUCAUGAAGAAGCUUGAUGAUAAAGCUGGAGACAAGAAAGAAGUCAUGCACAUCUACGACUCUCACAUGACUUGUGAGGAGUGUGGAGAUACUAGACACUCAGGCAAUCACUGCCCUGAGGUGCAUGAGGAUGUGAACUACAUCAACAACAAUAACUACUACUACUACUACAACCAUCCUCAACAAAAUCAAGGUUGGAAUCAACAAAGACCAACUACUCAAGUAACUACUCAGGUAACUAUCAAGGUAACAAUUCUUACAACAACAAUAAUAAUUUCCACCCCUGAGAGAGUUAGUGUCUAACCAAGAAAAGCAAAUGGAUAACCUAUCUAAGAAAUUGUCAUCUAAUGAUAAAAUGCUAGAAAAUAUAAAUAAUAGAAUGGAUAAUUUUUCUACUGCCAUCAAAAAUCAGAUUAGCUUCAACAAAAUGACUGAAUCUCAGUUGAAUCAAAUAGCUACUGCUAUUCCUGCUACUAACCCCGGUAUACCAUCACAACCGGAAGGAUUAGAAUCUGCAAAUCUUGUAGACAUGUUUGAUGCAGGUAACUAUUGGAGUAACCCCGUUGGAGAAGUACAUAAUGACCUUCUGCCAGUCAAGAGAGGCGAUCCAGGACGCCCCGUCAUCCCGAUCUUCAUCGGUAUGGUGGACUUCCUAGAAGCACUCUACGACUUUGGCUCCAGCGUCAAUAUUAUGCCCAGGGUACUCUACGAAAAAUUCUUUACAUGUCCUUUAUUAGAGACAACCAUGUGUUUGUAGCUUGCAGAUCGGACACUGAGCUUCCCAAAAGGAAUACUGAAGAAUAUCUGUGUCCGAGUUGGUACUUCGUACGUCCCAGCAGACUUCACGAUGAUAGAGACCGGUGCCGAUGAGAGGUCACCCAUCAUCCUGGGGAGGCCAUUCCUGAACACCUCGGAAGCUAUCAUCUACGCUAGUGCUGCGAAGAUCAACUUCAACCUCAAGAGGAGGAAGGAGACAUUUUCCUUCAAGAACAAGACUGCACAAAUCCCAGAGCAACCCCAAUAUGAACCAAGAAAGAGGACCAACAGGAGGAACAAGAACAAGAAGCAAGUGUAGACCGAAUCAGCUAAGAUGGUCACUGUAAUUCACAGAGGUCAAGAUCGUCGACUCAAGUCGCCUUUCCUGAUCGAGUGCACAAUCAACGGAUACUCUUUUUAGAAGACACUCUGUGACACCGGAUCUGGCGUCAACAUAAUGGCCACAGUCACCUAUCAGCUCCUCUAUGGAACCAUGCCCCUACAACCAACAUACAUUCAGCUCUAGAUGGCAGACCAGACAUUCUGAAAGGUCGAAGGUAUAGUAACUGAUGUCCCUGUCAAAAUAGACGACCAUUUUGUCCAUACAGAUUUUCAGGUCAUUGACAUGGGAGAAAACAAGUACGAUCCACCCAUCAUCCUUGAAAGACCGUUCCUCAACACUGUCAAAGCUAUCAUCUACAUUAGAACCGGAGAAGUCCACAUGCACUUCCCCUCUGAGAAGAUCAGGAUGAGAAGAAGGCGACGCAACCACAACUAGAGGAGACAAAUCAUCAAGGACAAAUGGGCAGACUACGAAGGAGAGGUAAUAAGGUCCGACGAUAAACAUUUUGAACAGGAUUGUCCUGAGGAGACCAUAGCACCAAAUCAGGUGUGGAAAGAGAAAAGAGUUGUAAUAGAAGAGGAGGCACCGCCGGAACCACCGUCUAUGCCAUCCAGCGAAUCCUAGGACGACUGAGAACACAAGGAGUCUCGUUCGGGGGACUUAAAAACACCGAACACUGUGCCAAGAGUUAAACUUGGUAGUUAUUCCUUUUUCCUUCAAUUAUUUAUUUUCCUUAAAUAGCUUGUUUAGUUAAUCAGGUUCAUACUAUCUUGAAAAGAAAAUAAAAAUGUUAACAAUAAGUAAGCCCCAUGUGAGUAUGCUCGUGGCAUAAAACCCAUAAGUACAUUCACUGUGGUGGCAUAAAAAUAAAAAUAUUUUUCCGUUCCAUAAAAAUGAAAAUAUAAAAAAUAAGAAUGUGAUCCUACCAAAGAGAGUAACAUUUAUUGAGGAGGCUCAACAUGACAAAGGCUAGAUAUUUAUGCUAACAAUUAACUAGUUCCACAAAGUUUUGUUGUCUAUUUGAGCUUCACAGAAUUCAAGGAUCAAGAAGACUAGCAGAUGGAGGACAUCCUAAUCGCUGUCAGGGCGCUGCCGACAGUCAAAUACACCUCUGCCACCUGCUAGCUGCAUCAAAGAAAAUUACGUCAAAAUCCAACUUGAAGGAGAGCACCCCCAUUUAUCCAGCUAAGUGUUUCUAUCUACGUUUAUACUUAUACUUUGUUAAAAUAAUAAAAAGAUACGUAAUCAUGAAAACUCAAAUAAAGAUUUUGUGCUUAUAUAUAUAUAUAUAUAUAUAUAUAUAUACUUUUGCUUAGUUUGCUAAAUAAAUAAAUAAAGUGGCUAUGCUAAAUUGAAUCUUAAUAAUAAACUUUAGCAUGGAUAUGAUGAAUAGUUGCUCUACCUAAUUUUCUAAAGCUCUCUCUCUCAAGUUUAGAUAUAACUGUUAUAAUUUAAAGCUUUCUCUAAACCUGAACUUGUGGGAAGAGAACUUGAUCUAAAGUCUAAGUCGUUAACGGAUAUGAUAUGGGAAGGUUGAGCUACUGUUUAUCUGUUCCUAGAGAUGCUAGAAUUUUGGAGAAUUUUAUCUUUGAAAAUCUUUAAAAUAUUGCAUGAUGAGUUCCUGCAUGAUGAGAGUUUAAAUUCCUACCACAGUCAUAUAUACAUGCUUAUUAAACUAAAAACCAUACAUUUACUUUUUACUGCCGAUGAGCAUUGAGUGUGGUCAAGCUGUGUAGACCCUUAGGAGCUUGUCAUGCAGUUAAAAUCAAGAUUCACUUGCACGUUCACUCAUACAUGCUACUUCUACUCCGGAAGUACGCAUCCACAUACAUCCACUCAUUUCUAUCUCCAAAUUCACCUAAAAUUAUUCUACUCCUAUCCAGGAGAGAAUAGCCAAAAACAUUAUCCUAUCCCUGUUAUUCCCCAUAAAAUAAAUGCUCGAUAUAUUUUGGUUACUACCACUUGGUAUACAUUAUUCUAGGAGGGUGAGUGUGCUAUGAAAAAAAAGUGAAUACGAGGAAAUAAAAAGGAGCAAGUGCCCGGAACCUCGAAGAAAAUAAAAAGUUAGACGAGAGAUAAAAAUGGACAAGUGUCUGACAGUAGAAUUAGAGGUACAAGAUACCCACCUGAGAGAAAAGAAAAAAAAUAUAAAGCAUUUCAUUCUCCUCAAAAAGCUUCAAAGUGCAAGAAAGGUAUGUAUCCCCUCAAACGAGCAAAAGUAGAAUUAGACUUUCACCAUUGUUUUCACCAUCAUCACCAUACAUCAUUCAUUCGCCACACAUGCACAUCUUGAUAUUAACUUAUUGACUUGUUUCUCUGGAUCCAUAGUUUGACUAUGCAAUAAAUGUCUUGUAAGUAUGUAUACUUUAUCUCCCACCUAUUAGCUCUAGAUAUCAAAGCCUUAUUAGAGUAGGAUGAGAGAGAAGGCAAUGUCACUAUGCCUCAUACCACAAAUACUACAUACUUUGAGAGAAGGCAUAUACCAUCACUGCCUUGGUAAGGAUCCAGAAAUACCACAAAAGAGAGAAUUGAGAGAGUCAUACAAGGAAUCUAUGAGUUUUAUUUUGAAAAUCUGCAAAAACUCCAGAGCUAUAGUUGAUCAAAGAACAAGAGACAUGACGCUUGACUUGACCAUUCUAUCUUUUAACUGCUCAAGACAUAAGUGAUGGUUGCAAGCCCCAUGGUGGAAGGUAAAAUGAGUAAGUUUUAAGUCUUAAUAGUUUACUCUAACUCAGAGAUAUACCUUGUUUGAAAGCAUGUGUACCGUCAACUUUCUAAGGCAUUGCAGCAACUUCUGAUCCAUCACUAAGUCUAUCCUUGCUCAGGGGCGAGCAAGAGGUAAGCUUGGGGGAGUUUGUUGACGGUCCAUAAGUACCAAAUUUAAUCAUCAAAUAAAUAAAGAAAAGGAUCUAAAUGCAACCAACACCCAGACUUAGGGUUUUAUCUAACAGAAUUUCACGAGUUUUGGUGUUUGUCUAUUUCUGCAGGGGGUUAUUAGGAAAUAUGUAGGAAAGGCCCAUACGUCGGGUUUACAUAGAGAUAUUAACAUGUGUGGCAAUUUUCUAUCAUCUAGAAGACUCUAGAAGCCACGUGAACGAACGGGAGGCUGAGCGGGCCCGGGGGCAGGGCACCCGCCUUGUUGUCUCGGUCAAUCAGGCCCUGCCUCGCGGAUUAUGCUCCACCGACCUAAAGGAUUAAGAAAAACCAUGCGAUUAAGGUCGGUUUGAUCCAACGGCCCACGUUCAUUUGGAAGGGCUAUAUAAGUAGGCCCCCUGGCCCCUGGAGGAGGCAUUCUCAUUCUCAAACCCUAAUUCAUUCAUUCAUCCAAGUAGGAGAGUCUCUGAUCAAGUCCUAGAGCCACCACAUCAACUAGAUCUCUAGUUUAGCAUAGCUACAUAGGAUUAGAACUAGAAGGAGUCAAUCUUCGAUUGGUUUCCGGAUCUGUCAAGAGGAUUCUUGGUAAUUCCUCUACUGUUCUUCAUUUGUUUAUCAUUAUUCUUCAAUAUUAUGAAUAUAACUUUGUUCUAUUUCAAUAUAUUGAUUAUGACUUUGCUCUACUUGUUUAUAUUUGCAAUUAUAUCGUUCUUAGUUUGUCAUGGUUAUAUACUUGGCUUAGUUAGAUUGGAAUUAUAUACAUGUUUAGGAUCGUAUAACAUUUAUCCAUUGGGUCCAUGGGUAAAUAAUAAGUAUUGUGUAGGCAUGGUGCCUAUACCGUAUUUAUCUGCGAUUGUACCUUAUAUGCCGGAUCGCGAGGUAGUUCGCGUUUGUGACAGCUCUGUUGAUUCUUAUAUAGUCCCCCUCCCGUGUAUAGGGCAGGCAGAGCAACAUUAUUACAGGCGAGUGAUUGCUAUGUUUCUCAUCUUCCUUGAUAAUAUCACUAUGCAUGGGCGUAGUCCUGUCUCGCAAUGAUUGCCAAGUAUAAUUGCACUAACUAUGAUAUGCUAGACUUUAUAGUUAAGAAUAACUUAGGAAAUGUUCUUGUAGUUCAUUCUAGUUCCAUACUAAUGACUUGCUAGAAUAUGUGUUGAGGUGCUUAUCAUUAUCAUAUGUGGCUAGUUAUGCUGAUCAGAUUAGUUAUCUUUGUCACCAUUCAUAUUUUAUCUAUAUUUUAUGUGACACUUAUCCCUGUAUGUAAGAGAUAGAUGAAUGCUCUCUAUUACACAUGUAAUGAUACUCGGUUCCAUAUUUCAUUCCAUAAUCAACAUUAGUGUUAGUAAUCUCUUUCCAAUGGUAAAAAUAUAAAUAAAAUUACCUAGAAUACUUUCCGAUUAAAAUGUUACAUCGGUAUUGAUCUGUGCGCUUGCAGAUCCCUUUUAUUAUUUAUUCAGAAGAGCAAUUGCGUAUUUCAAUACCGCGUCUCUCAUGUCAUGCUGGGGAUGACAACUUGGCUUAAGUGGCAUGAGGGAUAGGUUCGGCAUUUUUGGCGCCGUAAUCAGAAAUAGAAAACCAAGUCUACUUGACGUUAAGAAUGCCCAACAGCAGCCAAACCCAAUGACUCCCAUUUUUAGAGGGGCCUCAUGCAUAUUAAAGAUGAGGUGCUGGCUUAUGGUUCUUUUAGUAUUAAGGAUGGAACCAACACUAGGUUUUGGGAUGAUACAUGGGUAGGAGAUAAGCCACUCAAAGUGAAAUAUCCUUCCUUAUAUAAUAUAGUGCGGGAUCCUCACGCAACAGUCUCAAAAGUGUUAACUACUAGGCCCCUAAACAUCUCUUUUAGAAGGGCACUGGUAGGUAAUAAACUUAUAGAGUGGCUUAGUUUAGUAGCACGGAUCUCAAAUGUCGAAUUGGUGGAAGGUUCGGAUUAUUUCAGAUGGAGGCUAGCUAACCAAAUCUUGUCUAUUCUCUGUCCGCUCUUUGUAUCUCUAUAAUAUGGAUACACAAACACCUUUUCGUCAUAAGAAAAUCUGGAAGAUGAAAAUUCUUCUAAAAAUUAAGAUCUUUCUCUGGUUUUUGCAAAGAGGUGUUGUUUUAACCAAAGACAACCUCGUCAGAAAAAAUUAUUUCAGAAGUGUAUUUGCUGUAAUGGGAAUGAAACUAUCCAACACCUAUUCCUAGACUGCCCCCUUAUCAAGACGAUUUGGAGGAUUAUCUUUUUUGCUACUAGUUUAACCCAACCUAAAUCAAUCAACCACAUGCUAGGUGGUUGGCUAUCUAAUCAAAAUAAAAAGAUUAGAAAUCUGAUCUGGGUGGGGGUGGCUGCCAUGUACUGGGCAAUCUGGAGAUGUCGUAAUGAUGUUAUUUUUAAUCAAAUGAAAUCCAACUCCAUUAUGCAGGUAAUUUUCAGAGGAACGUACUGGUUAUGAACUUGGGCCCCGUUGCAGCAUGAUGAGACAGCCGCGGACGCACUCUCAACGAUGAGCAAGAAAUUAGAAGUAAUUGCUUUAGAGUUAUCCAAUAAAGGUUGGAAACAUAUUUAUUGUUUGAACUAGCGUCCUGGUUGAUCUAUAAGACUAAGGCUUCUCUUUUAUUUUUUCCAAAACUCUGUAAUAAUUGGCUAUGUAUAUCCUGGAUGUAGAGGCCGGAUACUUUUAUCCAUUAUCUAAAAAAAUUAACCAAGAUAAUCGAAUGAGGUGUCAUCAAGUUGGAGAAUGCCUUGGCACACUCUGCUUUGAAGGUUUCUAAGAUUUAGCAUGGCUGUAAGCAUCGGUAUCAAAUUUUCGGCAUGGACUGCCCGUGGUUGUUUUAGUUCCUGUCUCGCCUAUCAAGAAUGAGCUUAUUUUUAUUCUUUAGUUUUGUAUGCACCGUAAAUAUAAUGAUGCACACAACAUAUGGUUGUCAAAAUUCCAAUUCGUCUUAAUAAUCCUGGCAAAAAGGCAUACUCACAAGUCACAACCAACCAUUGGCAUCAACAUUUCCAUGACUUCCAUGUUUAAAGUCUUAUGAUUUGAUCUAACAUUGGUAACCUUGCAUUAAGCGCAAGUGUGAACCGGAUCUCUUGAUAUCACCGACGUGGCAAAUUAACUUGCAGUGUUGGACACCCCAGUUCAGUUUCCUUCUCGUUAAGUUUCCCUGCCUGAGAGUUUCACCAGUUUAAAAUUUUCACGUCCGUUUAAGGUUACAAAACAGAAAGACAGAAGUCAACUCUCAAAAAACAAAAACCAUAAAACCAUAAAAAGUACUGAUGAAUCACCUUCGUUUCAGCUGGGACCAGCGUGUAAGUCAUGACAUAUAUAUCACCCUUUCCUCCAUUCCAAAUGCUGCUCUGGCUCACUGGCUAGCUCCCAUGGCUGCCGCCGCCUCUCUCCACCCCAUCCACCUCCCUCUUCCCCACUCCGACUCCCACCCAUCCCAACCCUAGCCCUGGGCCUCCUCCGUAUGUGCAUUCUACCUACGUGCUCGGCUUGGCUAAUGUGGACUAAAUGCGCAUUCAUGUGUACUUGAAGAUGGAGUUUCUCUGUCUCUCUCCGUGUUCAAUCCAACCCAGAGGUGCUUGCCGUGGUGCUUAGGUCAGUCUCAAACUCUCAAUGCAUGUUUUAUGAGAGUGUCAUGCACAUUAAAUAGGGUGCCACAUAAGCAAAAUUGCUGACUUGGCAAGGUCAUUAAAUGAAGGAGUUUCAUUAGAUGAGAGAGGAGUUUCAUCUCUAUGAAACUCAUGUGGCUCGGUUACCUAGUUUAUAGUCUUGAUAACUGUGCCAUGAAACUAUGUAUUGAGACUGGCCUUAUGCGCGAGGCGUCGAGGACGUUUGGGAGUUGGGAUGCGGCAUUUGGUCCUUUCCGCCUCUCCUAGGUCUGUAUUCCCCAAGUGGCAAGAGCCUUUAAUUUUCGUUUCGCUGGAAAUUAACGUGCUGCACAUUUGGUUUCUCUGAACGUGGUAUAUGGUGUGUAUCUUUGGUUUCUCUGAACCUGGUAUAUGGUGUCACAGAGACAGGGUAGUUGGUGGUCUCAUAUCCUGCGAACCUAGCCUUGUUUAGAUUCAAAAACUUUUUGGAUUUUGACACUGUAGCACUUUUCUUUUUAUUUGACAAACAUUAUCCAAUUAUGAAGUGACUAGGCUUAAAAGAUUCGUCUCGUGAUUUACAUGUAAACUGUGCAAUUAGUUAUCUUUUUUAUCUAUAUUUAAUGUUUAAUGCAUGUGCCGCAAGAUUCGAUGUAAUGAGGAAUCUUGUAAAAUUUUGGGUUUUUGAGUGUAUCUAAACAAAGCCUUAGUUCUAAAAAUUUUUACAAAAUGGACACUAUAGCACUUUCGUUUGUAUUUAACAAAAACUAUCCAAUCAUGGACUUAACUAGGCUAAAAAGAUUCAUCUCACAAAUUACACCUAAACUAUGUAAUUAGUUAUUCUUUUUAUUUAUAUUUAAUGCUUUAUGCAUGUGCCACAAGAUUUGAUGUGACAGAAAAUUUUGCAUAAUUUUUUGGAAACUAAAAUGAAGCAAAAUGUCCUUUUCUGGCUAACCUGCCUAGCACAUGCUAAAUAAGGUACUCAUUUUAUACAGCUUUCUGGGCAGUGGACACGGGUGAUGGUGACACGUCAUAUAGUACAGAUCAAUAUAUGUAUGGUCGGUUUCAUUUUCUUCAGGUUGUUGAUGCCUUGCUUGCUCUGUUUUUUUAAAAAACCAAAUACUUCCUCUGCUUUGGCAGCCCAGUUAUACAAGAUAGCAGGUAGUUUAUACCUGAAGUUACUUAUAUCUUUCUGUAAUUAUGAGCAAGUUCUCAUAUUAACCAAUCAAAAAACAAUGACUAUGUUUAGAAAUUAAUUUUUUAAACAAUUACCUGGCUGAUUUGGUCAGAUAAAGCAGUUCCUGUCCAAUAUUCCAUGUAAUUAAUGAGCCAUAAACCACAGCUACAACUGUCCAUAUUCCAAAACAAUUUUAAAAAAUAUAUAUGAGAUAUAGAGAUAUAGUAGCUGGUUAGGACAUGAUAGAAAAAUAUUUUACCCAUCUUUUUGCAUUUGUUCAGCAAUCUUAUGUUUAAUCUCCCAAGUUGACACUUCGACACCGUGUUUCCAUUUCGUUUGGUCCAGUGGUGUAGAGAGCAGUGCAUGCUUUAUGAGUCUUUCCAUUCCUAUUAACUGGAUUGACCGACGCAUCAAAAUUAUUUAAGAAAGAGAUACCAAAGAGUUGUAAACAAGUAUGUGCCUCAGUCGUUUUUUUUGUUUACCGUGUAUAUUUGAGAUCUGUCCAGUUUGUCAUAUUUUCUCCAAAUGAGUCCAAAACAUGUAUUUCACCUUCUGAAGCAUUCACGACCGCUAGGUACCAGUGAAACUUUGUAAUGUUGAUCGGAAGAAAGACCUGCAGUAAUAUAGAUUUAUCUAAAUUAUUUAUUUACUUUUGAAAGAGUUUAAAAAAUUGCAUGCCAUUUUUUAUGGUGAAGCGUACCAUAUCAACAUCUAAAUAAUUUUGAACCCUUGUCUCAACCACGUCGUCUUGAGUAUAGCUCAAUUUCGUCUCAUCUUGCUCUCCGUCACCUCGUAGCAAUUGAGAAAACCAUGUAUUCUCCAAAUAAACAUAUCCACCUUCUCUAUGAAGGUGCUCUUCAUUCCGCAUCAAUUGUAUAUAAAGACUUAUAACCUGCAAAAUUUUCAUUUUGUCAAUAAUCGAUUGGCAGAUAUUUCACAUGGACAUUAUUAGUUAAUAUAGAAUCAGGUGUUAAACAUGCUUACAGCGUCAUUUACUUCCUGAUUCCCAGAAAAAGGCAAUCCAUGUCAUUUCUUUCUCCCCAGCAAUCACCAAUUCUAACAAGCAGAUGCUUUUCACUUUUUUCUUUCAUAUAUUGAAUUACCUCAAGAUCAUGUGGCGUACACUCAUAAUCUACAGAGAUAUUUAGUAGAGAGUAGAGAUAAUUAAUUAAUUCCCAAAUUUAAAGGGAAUUGUUUCAAUUGAUGAUGAAUUACCUUGAGGCAUGACUUGUGCCAUGUUUGAUUUCUUUGGCUUGUUAUACUCAUGAGCUCUUUGUCUUUUUGUAUCCGUGGCGUUUUAACGUCGUUAUCUUUGAACUGUACAUUAUUAGGCUCAAUUCUAAUGACCUGCAUAUGCAAUAUAAUAAAUAUAUAUAUUAUUUAUACUAUUAUAGAGAUAAUAAAGAUUUUGUACGCAGUGGUCGACAUGGCUCAAAUAUUUGAGGUUAUUUGAGUUGCUGGAGAGAUUGUUGCGUACGUCAUCCUCGUGAGCACGCUUCCGCUUCUUUUCUCCAUCUUUUUCUUGAUGAACUAUUAUUUUGCCCUUGCCUUUUGUUUGGUCAUCUACAUCUCUUUUACCUCGUUCUGGUACUUUUUGUUCUGCAAUUUAUUUUAAAUAAAUACAGUAACAUACAUCUAACCGGUCCUUAUUUUUAUUAAAAUAGCAUGAGUGUGUUGUGCUAAUAUAACUUACCAGAAAUAGGCAUUGGAUCAAUAUGGACUGUCUGUUGGCCUCUACAUCCUGGAACAUAAUUAUCAUUUCUGUGUAGCCAAUCUAUGGGCUCAACGGACUCAUCUGUAUCCACUGUUGUCGAUAUUUCAGCAUCAUUCUUGUUCUGCAUUUCUUGGCUAGAGUCUUGUUUAGAGGCUGAUCGCAUUUCCUUCUCGAGAACUAUCUGAUCAUUCUCGACAGGUUCGGUUCUUGCCUCAGUGUCUAGAUCUUUUUUAAUAGAUUCUGCAUUUGGAUUGGCAAAACAUAAAUUAAUUUAAAUUUGGAAACCAAACUUAUGAUUAUGUGAGAUGAUUAAUAAUGAAUUAUUGCAGUGGAGAUUCAGUGUGACUAAUAAUAUAGCAUUGAUUGAAGAGUGGUUCACCUGAGUGCAUGGGCAUGGUACCUUUUUCUUCGGGUGUUACCUCACUUGUCAUCAAGUUUGGACUAUUUACCACCUCAGGCGCCUCCACAUAUUUGUCAACUAAGGCAUGAUCAUGCUCCAUUUUUUUCUCCUAUGACUCCAAAAAUAAUAUGAUUUUCAACGUACAUAUAGAUAAAUCAUGGUUUAGGAUCUUUAGAUUGGUGACCAUACCUAUUGUCAAAAAAAAGAUUGGUGAUCAUACCUUACGUCGUAUUGCGGCUGACGAUGCCUGGACAAUGGUCGUGAAGUCAAGCACGUCGUAGUGCUGUUCGAGGUGUCCUCAAUCUCGAAUGUUCAAGGACUCUAAGUCAGCCGCGCGUUGUUGACUGUUCGUGGCGGCUAGGGCGUAUGAAGAUGCCAGGUGCGCCUGCAGCUAGGGCAUCAAGGGCUUUUUGGGCGGCGCGAUUCGCGUGCGAGCUGCGGCCACGCGUUCUCAUUACUGAUUAGGCUGGUGUACUGCCAAACUCAUAUAUUAUUAUACGGGCGCUAGAUUUCUUUUUGACAAGUUAAUUGGGCCAUGUGCCCGAGUGUGAAAAGAAUAGAAGUAUCGAGCUCUGUCCACUCUCCUUGCUCAAAAAAAAGAGCUAUGUCCACUCUCCUAGUCCUUCCUUAUCCACCCAACACUCCAACGUACGGACCGACCAGCUGCCGAGCUUUGAGCACCGGCCGUAGCUUCCAGGUGGGAGGCGCAUCCGGAGGUGGGGGCGGCGAGGGAAGCGAGGCGGGGACGCGGGGGGUCGGCGGACGCCUCCGCUGACUCAGUCGGCGGGAGCGGGAGGUGCGCGGCGCAGGUGAGCUAACUGUCCGGGCACCCAACGGUCGGCACCACGGCGGCCGCGGCGGAGGCGAACGGCGGGGGGGGGUGGGGGCGGGGACAUUUCUCAAUUUAUGUCGUUCUGGUAGGUUUUGGUAGAUGUAGUCAUAUGGAUCAUCAUGUGGCUGAACAUUCGCAGCUGCACCCUCUGGAAGCACGCAAUAUGACUCAUAGCGUUGACCUUGCGCAUGUCGCUGAAUGAAUCUGUCAUCAUCGUCUAAGUUUUCAUUGUGCAAUCCAUGUCCAUCUUCCAUGUCAUCUUCAUCACCAUCCCAACCACCAUUUAUUGGUUCAAAUAGUUCACGGUCAAAUUCUUCUUCAUCGGAGUGGACAUGUACAUGGUUCCUGUGUUGCGCGGGUAAUUGUCCUUCUGCAUAAACACAUUUAAUAUUAUCACAAAAAAAAAUAUAAAACAUAGUAUAGGAAAACAGAGUGUCCUUGAUGUGCAAACCUGUCUUAGCUGUAAUAGGUGGUUCCCUACGUGUAGGAACAUAAUUAUCAUUUUUGUGUCAUUUUUGUGUAACCAAUCUGUAGGCUCCUCAGAGUCAUCAAUUUGCACUAUUGUCGAUAAUCCAGUUCCCAAAUUCGCACUUGCGGUUGUGGACGGUUGAAUAAUUACUCCACCACUGUCUUGGUUGGCAAUGCUCGUGGUUUUAUUAUUUUGCAACUCAGCCUUCUGUCGUGCUCGAUAUUGAUGUUGGUACUGAGCAGCCUUCCUUCUCUUUUCUUGUAACUCUUCGUUGGUCAACUCAACUCUCCUCUUUCGAUGUUGGUUAUUUCUUGUGUCCAUCACUGUGUUAGCAGUACCUGCAUAUCCACUUCUGUGAGGUUAGUCAUCAUUGGGAUGAGAUAUGCCACAUGAAGCUAGGUAAUUGACAGUUACCGUUGUUCAAAGGUAGUCUACUUUCUAUCGUGGCUCCCGUGAGCAGUCCACCGUAGCUAUGAUUUCCAUCUGUAGUUGGCUCGGUAUUUGCCUCGUUCCUAAUAAAUGGUGAAUUUUGGUCUAUCCUAAAAUGCUGAUUACCUGCAUUAUAUUUGUUGCAGUAAAUAUUUAAAUGGAGUGACAUCUCGUAUAAAUUAUUGCAGUAAUAUAUAUUUGUUGCAGUAAUAUAUAUAUAUAUAUAUAUAUAUAUAUAUAUAUAUAUAUAUUAAAAUAGAGUGACAUCUAGUAUUUCUACUAUAAUUCAUGUCAUGUAUGCGAUAUUUACCAAUAGCCGUAGAUUCUGUAUUUCGGACGUGGUUGUUGUGCCGUUGCUAGUAUCGUUAUGAUCCCUAUAUGCAUGUGGUUGGAUAUUUUCCUUGUCCAAACAAAGUGCAGAGUUCUGGGAUUCGGCAUUCUUCCUUUGUCGAUAUUGACGCGAGUAUUCACGUUGUUUCCUUCUCAUCUCCUCCUUUCGUUCGUCAGACAUCUCGGCUCGACGAGCCCGUAGCCGCAAGUUCCGUUCUUCCCUCGUCCGUCGGGCAUCAUCUACAGAGAGAGAUAGGAAAUAAAUAUACACCCACAAAUACUAUACAUGUACCCUAUUUGGCAUCAUACCUGCGACGUUAGUGAUGUCACUUAGUGCACUGGGCGUAUCUCGGGCCGUCGACAUUGAGUAGGUGAGGAGGCAACACCUUUUGAUUUUUCAAAGGAUCGCGGUUGUCCACAAUAGAGAGUCGAUGUUUUCGAAAUCUGUAAAUUUCAAUAGUAGAAGUAUAAUAUAUAUUAUUUUUUUGCAGUAGUAGAAGAAGCACAGUGGAAUGCGCAAGUGGACCUGGUUCUUCACGAGGCGUUCAGAGACGAAGGAGGUCGACGGUCAUGACGAAGCCGACGUGAUGCAGUCAAUGCUUUGAAUUCCCAAGCGCGGCGAUCGUUGGAAGAAUGAGGUGGAUCGAGCGACGUAGCCGACCUAUCUGCGGAUCGCGCGACGUAGCCGACCUAUCUGCGGCACCAGCCUGAGGCGGUCUUCCACGGCUGGGAUCGGCAAUAUUGGAGGUUGCGCCCUUCCUCCACGGCCGGGAUCGGCAAGCUGCGGCACCAGCCCGACGCGAUACGGUGUUUGGUGAGUGUUGGGCCUUCCUCCACGGUCGGGAUCGGCAAGUUGCGGUCGCCCUUCCUCCACGGCCGGGGUCGGCAAGCUGCGGCACCAGCCCGACGCGAUACGGAGCUUGGCGAGUGUUCGGCCUUCCUCCACGGCCGGGAUGGGCAAGUUGUGGCAGCAGCCCGAUGCGGUUUUCUGCGAAUACGGAGUUACGGAGUUUUUCAUGGGAGUUUGGCGAGUGUUGCGAUACGGAGAUGACGCGAGUUUGGCGAGUGUUGCGAUACGGAGAUGACGCGAGGCGACGCGUGAGGGCGGAUGUAAGGUUGUGAUCAUACUUUUAAUCUGAGUCGUCUAAUCUGUAGGACAUAUGUUGUGAGUCGUUGAUCUUGCAGGUGAGAUUUGCCUGGAGAAGAUUUUAAUUAUAGUAGAGAUAAUAUCUAUUUGUAUAUCCCCUAAUAUUGAAGACACAACCUCUAAUAUCUAUUUGUAUAUCUAUUUGGUUCCACGGUUCAGAUUGUUGAUAUUGAAGACACAACCUCUGAUACUUGGACUGGUUUGUGAGAUUUAGGUUUGGAGGUCACGGCCGGGUACACUAGUGACUCUGAGCACUGAAGCAAGCACAGGCAACCACCAUGGCGGAGGCCGUCGUGGGAGUGCUGAUUGGCAAGCUAGGUGGAGCCUUGGCGAAAGAAGCAGCAACCUAUGGAGCAUCCCUGCUUUGCAAGGAAGCUUCAGCCCUCAAGGGUCUUUUUGGCGAGAUCCGCAAAGCCGAGAGGGAGUUGGAGAGCAUGAAGGCCUACCUUCGUCAGGCAGAGAAGUUCAAGGAUACUGAUGAGACCACUGGCAUCUUCAUCAAGAAUAUCAGGGAACUAUCAUUCCAGAUCGAGGAUGUUAUCGAUGAGUUCAUGUACAAGCUUGAGGAUGACAAGCAUGGGGGAUUUGCAGCCAAGAUGAAGAAGAGGAUAAAGCAUCUGAAGGUUUGGCACCGCCUAGCUCACAAGCUCCGAGAUAUCAAUGCUGAGCUUGAAGAAGCUGCAAAAAGAAGGGCACGUUAUGUCAUCCCGGGAAUGCAGGGACACUCUGGGAGCAGUGACCAUAAUGCCAGAUCCACCAAUCAGAAUUUGUGUCUUGCAAGGGAAGAUGAGGUAGUGGGUAUUGAACAUAAUGCAACGAAGCUGAAACAGUGGCUAGUGGGUGAUCUGAAAGAAAAGAACUACAAAAUAGCCACAGUGUGGGGAAUGGGUGGUGUAGGUAAAACUACUUUGGUUGACCAUGUCUACAAGAUUGUCAAACUAGAUUUUGAUGCUGCAGCCUGGGUAACUGUGUCACAGAGUUACCAAGUUGAAGACUUGCUAAAGAGGAUUGCAACAGAGUUUGGCAUCAUAACUGAUGCCACCAACAUGGAAAUUAGAACCUUAGUUGAGAUCAUCCGGAAACAUCUUGAAGGUAAAAGGUAUAUCUUGGUUCUAGAUGAUGUUUGGGAAAAGGAUGUAUGGAUUAACAAUAUCAUGGAAGUCUUUCCAACUAAUUGUACCAG
rnacentral:lncRNA from 1 species